GACGAACGCUGGCGGCGUGCCUAACACAUGCAAGUCGAGCGGGGUCCAUCCGGUAGCAAUACCGGGGAAGACCUAGCGGCGAACGGUGAGUAACACGUGAGAAACCUGCCCCGAAGUCUGGGAUAACCCGAGGAAACUCGAGCUAAUACCGGAUGUCUUCUUCUGAUCGCAUGGUCGGAUGAAGAAAGAUUUAUCGCUUCGGGAGGGUCUCGCGGCCUAUCAGCUAGUUGGCGGGGUAACGGCCCACCAAGGCGUCGACGGGUAGCUGGUCUGAGAGGACGAUCAGCCACACUGGGACUGAGACACGGCCCAGACUCCUACGGGAGGCAGCAGUGGGGAAUAUUGCGCAAUGGGCGAAAGCCUGACGCAGCAACGCCGCGUGCGGGAUGAAGGCCUCGGUGUAACGAC
rnacentral:rRNA from 1 species